rnacentral:pre_miRNA from 1 species
GGCCUCCCUUUGUGGGGUGAUCGAUUGCGGGGCCCCCAGAUUGAAUGCCCCGCAGAGGGAGGCC